GGAAUGAGAUAAGUAAGUGGAACCGCAGGAACAGGGGAAUGGCGGUGGCGCGAGAUGGAGGAGUCGAGAUCGGAGACAAAAACAAAAACAACACUUCACGUUGCUGCGGGAGUUGCGUGUUUGGUCUCCGUUUCUUCCGGAGUCUUUAGGCGAUAAGGGCGUCAACUUGCCGUCAGACUUUAGCUCUCUCUCUCGGCGAUCCGGGCGGCGUCUCAGAAGCGCUGCGGAAGGAGCUUUGCUUCGUUUGGGAGUGGUGGAUUUUGGAGGGUUUCGACGGAUUAAUGAUUGUUCCUAGAUGGAAUUAUGAGUCUUUUUGAGGUUUUGGCGGCUUUCGCAGGGGAGCUUUUGUCUAAUGGUUAAAGAACGAGGAGGCCUUGUUGAUUUUAUCCCGAUUUUUUUGGUUGUUGAGAUCGGGAUUUUUUGGGUCUGUCUCUUAAGAAUUUGCAUUGACGCGAAUCCGUCGAAGUCAGUGGAAUUUGGUCAAGCAAAGAGUCGCCGUUCCAUAUCUGAAUCGGUGGAGUUAAGUUCUUCGAUUUGAAUUCGUGGUCGUGACUAAGAAUUAGCACCGAAAGGCGGCGCCUUUCUGGUAGAAGAACGCUUUUGUUAGAGCCGGAGAGAGGGGCGCGUAUACGCUACCCGUGGCCAUCAAGUGACGGAGCCCCGUCCGUUUCAAGGGUGCGGAGGAGUAGGGAUUGAUGCAGCUGCGGGCCACUAGGGUUUCUUUUUUGCGCGAGACAAACUCUGAUGGCUGCUAGGAAUCACAGAUAGGGUUCAGUUGCUAUCUUAGGCAUAGCACCAUCUCCGAAGUAAUCGAGGCCGUCUUGUCAUUUUGCUAGGGGCUUUGUAGGGUGGUGGUACUUGGAGUUGCUUUGGAGUUAGUGAGGUGAUCAGGUUGGCGUUUCACGAGCACUCAAACUUUGUUCGCAGGCUUACAAGAAGAAGCGGUCUUCAAGUUUUUCGAUUUUCCUCUUGUGAGAAGCCUUUGCGGGGUUGAUUUAGCAGAGGCCAGGGCGAGCUAGUUGUGUCUUGCCACCAUCUUCUGUAAGGUUUGUUUCUUUUUGGCUGAUUGACCUGCUCAAGGGAAAUUCCAGCCUAUUAUCAUGGCGAUGGGGCCUCCAAAUUGUUCAGUCGGUGUAGGUUAGUUUUUAUUUUCUAAUCUUUCCAGUCUUUCUAAGUCUCCUUGAAAAUUUUCAUUUAGAACAUAUGAUUCUGUAGUGAUAAAGCAAAAGGUUGUUGACGCUUAUGCAUAAUAUUUCCAAUACCUUUUGUUCUGUAUUCCUUUCAUUUCUUAUUUUAUUUGAUUUGGACUAUGUCUAAACCCAUGUUUUAGAAGUUUCGUGGUGAUGAACUGUUCCAUUUGUUUGAUCUCGCCUUGUUCAUUCAUGCGCUUCUGCGGUCUUGUUCUUUUACCAUUCGCUCUUUCUGCAUGUGCUUGUAUUGAUUUCCAUAUCGAUUUCUAAGGGGUCUUGUGGAUUCUGUUGGGACGUGCUUUUGCCCUGAUUACAUUUAUUGAUUUGGUUAUAUUGUCAAAAUUAACACCUUUCGAGUUAUAACAGUUCAAUUUUACGACCUCUUGGUUUGGAGAGCUCCGAUAAUGGGUUAUGCUAUUGAUCAUCGUUUUUCAGGGUCCUCAGGUAAUGGUUUGUCUAAGGAACUAUGGCAUGCAUGUGCUGGACCUCUCGUUACUGUGCCUUGUCAAGGAGAACGGGUUUAUUACUUUCCUCAGGGUCACAUGGAACAGGUGAUUAUUAGUUUUUCAUGUGAUAAUUUUUCCAAAAUAUAUAUUUUCUUCUGCCUCAUCUUGCAAAGAUUUAUUAUUAUGCAUGUCUAGGUGAUGUUCUUUUUCCCCAUGUCUUCUCUUGCACCAUAAGAACCUAUGAACUGUGGACCUGUUAGCCAAUUGUUGGGUCUUUGAGCUGGCUUCUCCAAUCUCAAUAGGGCAUUUACCAUUAAGGGCAGCUAAUAUGGCAAUCCCAGACCGGUUCAGGACAUAGUCACACUGUUUUAUGUUGAUUGUUGCAUAUGGCUCAUUAGCUAUUAUGUUCACGGGCUAGUUCCUACAAGACAGAACAAAUUGACGUAGAUUUUCACGUCUGCUUCUCUUUCUGUUUUGUUAGCUUGAAGCACCAUCAGACCAGGAGAAUGAGCAGAAGAUGCCAUUGUUUAAUCUACCCUCAAAGAUCCUAUGCAAGGUGAUUCAUGUUGACUUGCACGUAAGUUCCUACCACUGUUAUCCUUUUUUCCCUUUUAAAUUUAAUCCAAUUAUCGUUUUGGCCCUUUUUCAUAUUUGAUGCAGUAAUCGAAGAAAUCAUGUUAUUUUCUCCAUUAUAUUCUCAUGUUGUAGGCUGAACCAGAUACAGAUGAAGUUUAUGCACAGAUCACACUGCUUCCCGAGAUAAAUGUAAGUUAUUCUAAGUUGAAUACUUUGCUCCAUUAUAAACUUGUGCUGCUCACUACAUGCUCUAUCAAUUACUUCGGAUGCUCUCUUUUUUCUGCAUUAUGAUCACUUUUAAAGCCAGAUUGAAUUCCUAGUCAGGUAAUCUAAUUUUGCAUGAGCAGUAUGUGCUUCGAUGUGCCUGUUAAAUCACUAGUGACAAUACAUAAUCAAUUGAGUUUUUUCAUUUUCUAAUGUGUCUGCAACCUCUGAGCUACUAUAAAGUUCAACUACUUAUUUCAGAUGGAUGUAUCUCUUCCAUUUGUUUCUACUUUAUUCGACAUGCUUCUUUUAUUUACACUGGCCUCCUUGCUCUACUUUUAGCAGCAAGGUGAGGUUACCACCCCAGAUCCACCUCUUCCUGAGGCAGAAAGGUGUACUGUCCAUUCUUUUUGUAAGAUUCUGACAGCUUCAGACACCAGCACCC
rnacentral:lncRNA from 1 species